UAGCCAAGUUUGAUGACCUACUGUUCUUUGGCGAGGGGAUGGGUUACCGAGAGAGAGCCUUCAGCUUGCAAAAGAGGGAGAGAGAGAAGAAGAGAGAGCCUGAAGAAUUCCAACGCUUCUCCUGAACGAGGCUUAGCUGAGCAAUUCCACUUCUCUCUCUCACAAAUCUGCUUUCGUCGCUCUCGACUUCUGCUUCCAUCUCACAGAGGGUAGAGUUGCUAUUGGUCAGAUGGAGGAAUGGGUGUGAGAUUCGGUGAGAGGAAGAAGAGGGAGGAGCAGGGAGAUGGGCUCGAGUCCGCGAACGGCAGAAGAGAUCUUCAGGGAUUACAGUGCUCGGAGAACCGACGCCGUCCACGCUUUAACUAACAGUACUCCGAUCUCUCUCUCCUCAGUUUCUCUCUCCUAGGGUCUAGACGAGUCUACCUGCUAUGGUGAAGAUGGAAGAUGCUAAGCCUGAAGUUUCAGCUUCCAACAAUUCAAAUUCCGAGAGCUGCGAUUCUGGUCUUCUCCAAGAUCGAUUUACUUAUUUGUGCAAGAUGGUAUUUGUCAUUGGACGAGAACUCUUACAAGCAAGCUGCAAAUAUGUUCAAAGAAACCAAGAUCUGUUAAUAUCAAAUGCUUCAGCUAUUGGCAAUGGAACAGCCCUUGAGAUGGCAGUCCUCAACUUGAGUUGUGUGACUCAAAAGAUGGGGCAAGUUGCCUUCAAUGCUAUUGUCAAUGGCUCGGGUGCUCAAAAGAUCUGUACAAUAUGGUUUUGGCAAUACUGUGGGUAUUGGGGUGAAUAUCAUAAAAGCAAACUUGUGUAACUAUAGAUCUGCAAAUGUUUGGUAGAUAGAGCAAUUUGGGAAUUUGUUCACCGAAACAUCUACGGAUAUCAUGUAUAUCAUUUUGUUUUUUACGUGAAUGUUGGUUGUUGAAUGCCUUAUCAUUUUGGUUUUUAACUUGCCAUUGUUUAUCUAUAUCCAAAAUGAGUCUGAAUCUUUUCAAAUAAAUGUUACUUUCCGAUUUGAGAAUCUGUAAUUCACUUUUUAUUGGUCAUUUCCUAUAUAUUUGAUUUAUAGAGCUCCUGGGUUGUCAAUUGUGACUACUCCUCACAUGGAUUAUAGCACUUAUGCAAACUUCAGAGCAUACAGGAAAUCAAUGUUUUCCAUUUUGGGUACAAAGAACCAAAUAUGUUAUCUAUGUCCUUAAUGAACUUAUUACUUUUAAUUGUUUAGUUUAACCGAUGUUUGGAUGCUUAAAAAUAUUCUUUGUUUUUAGUUCAUUCUGCUCCGCAGUUUA